GCGGAGGAAAAGAAACCAACAGGGAUUGCCUCAGUAGCGGCGAGUGAAGCGGCAAAAGCUCAAAUUUGAAAUCUGGCGUCUUUGGCGUCCGAGUUGUAAUUUGAAGAAGGUAUCUUUGGGCCCGGCUCUUGUCUAUGUUCCUUGGAACAGGACGUCACAGAGGGUGAGAAUCCCGUGCGAUGAGAUGACCCGGGUCUGUGUAAAGUUCCUUCGACGAGUCGAGUUGUUUGGGAAUGCAGCUCUAAGUGGGUGGUAAAUUCCAUCUAAAGCUAAAUAUUGGCGAGAGACCGAUAGCGAACAAGUACAGUGAUGGAAAGAUGAAAAGAACUUUGAAAAGAGAGUGAAAAAGUACGUGAAAUUGUUGAAAGGGAAGGGCUUGAGAUCAGACUUGGUAUUUUGCAUGCUGCUCUCUCGGGGGCGGCCGCUGCGGUUUACCGGGCCAGCAUCGGUUUGGAGCGGCAGGAUAAUGGCGGAGGAAUGUGGCACGGCUUCUGCUGUGUGUUAUAGCCUCUGACGAUACUGCCAGCCUAGACCGAGGACUGCGG
rnacentral:rRNA from 1 species